CACACACAUACACACACACACACACACACAAUACAUACAUACAUACAUACAUACACAACAUAAACAGGCAGUCACCAGUUAUCAGUGGCCACAGUUAUUGGCGAUCUGGUUUUAUGGGGUUUGUCUAGUGCUGAAAGUGAGCCGAUUUCUGGUUAUCUUUGCCGAUAAUAGAGUAUUGGCACCAAUACAUACCUAACAGAGACACUAUUAACUGGUUAUUGGCACCAAAAUCCUGUUAUCAGCGCCAAUUAUCGGUGAUUUUCACUUAACAUUAAGCCCUCGGAACAGAACCCCCUGCCGAUAACCGGGGACUGUGUAUAUAUAUAUAAUUAUAUAUUUGUAAAUGUAUUUGUCACAGUGCCCUCUUAAGAUCUCGAGGCUUUGUAGUGACAAGUGUAUCCAAAAAAAGAGCAAAGAAUUUGACAAGUUACGUGGGCAUUGUGGUAUUACAUUUACAUAUGUAUUUGGUAAAAGUGACACAUACAUACAUUUUAUAUAUGUUUUGCUUGUGACUUUUGUUAUUUUUUCAGUGUUUCACAUAGACUUGUGAUUUUUUAAUAACUUCCUUAUUCAUAGAUGACUCCUUUUUUUUGGAACAUUCUAUUUUUGGUUUUUGAUUGAAUUUAUAUAACAUUAUGUAUAUAAAUUUCUCAAUGAGUACCUUUGUUUAGAACACAAUUCAUACAUCAGAAUAACUUCUAUUACUAAGCGAAAGUGUAUUCUUUCAUGUGUAGGUUUAUUUAUCUUAAUUUUCUUAUAUUUUUGGUGCUGUAGAUAUACUGUAAUACAAGGUUUGUAGUCAGGUAGUAUUGGGAUUUUGUGUACUACUGUACGUACUUGCAUAGUACUUCAUUUAUAAGAGUUAGAUUAUUUUUUUAUGAGUAUUUCUUCCAUUAUAAAGCAAAUUUAUUUAAUUGGGCCACUAAAAAUUUUAGUGAUGAAGUGUAUGCCAGAAGUCAUUCAUGAAAGGUAAACACACUUCUUUUUUUGUACCAUUUUUGUCAGCAAAGCAAUAUUAUGAAGCUUAGAAAAUCUAGUUUAGUUAAUGAUAGUACAUAUGUUUCUUUGUAGAAUUAGCAUUAAUAUUACCAUACAUGGCUUUCUAGAGUAAGUUAGGUUGCAGUUGAAAUUUUUUGUAAUCUAGAAAUUGGUAAUUAAGAAGUUUAUGUUAUUAAUAUAAUUUGGUGUAAACAGACAACUAAGUUAGCAUUUGUUUUAUGUGUUCAUAGACAGUCCGCUAAUCAAUGUGAUAACUAUUGAGAUUGUUGGUGUCAAGAGGUAAGACCUGGAAGCUUUGCUAGCCUGACAGUGAUAGUGUUAUAAUAAUAAUGAUAAUGGAGAGUCCUUAUAUCAUGAUGUUGCGGGCUCUCGAGUAAGAAAACACAGGCAAUGUUGCAUACCACUUCCAAAAAGUAUUAUAGCCCCUGUUAAACUUACAGUUAUCAGUAUUAAUAUCACUACAGGAUUAUUUAAAAGGUAAGCAUUAUUAUGUGGUGUCUCAACAGAAAAUGAUGUUCAUCUCCAACAGAACAAGUUACGUAUACGUACUAGUUCUCAGGUCCUCUGCUAAAACAGACCUUUAAGAAAUGUUUAGAAAGGAUAUUACUGUAUAUGGUGAUGGUCGCAGUAUAAUUGCCCUCAUGCUUUAAGAAAUAGUUUCUAGAAAACAGAGAUUCUGCAGAGCUUCCAGUAUCAAAUUUGAGAGCAGAUUCUAAUAGUGUUAGAAUUGCAGAAAGGAUGCAUAGUGCAUUAAUACUAUUAUAUCUGUAGAACAACAUUGCCUUUGGAAAACUAAUCAAUUAAUCAAGAAAGCUUAGUUAUACUGGAGAUCAGCCUUCCAGUAACCUCACUUGUGACAUCAUUUCAUGAUAUACAUAUUCUGGUUCUCUGUAAAGGUUGGCAGCAAUGUCUUACUGCAUAUUUUGAUUAAGUAAAUGAUUAAGAAAAAACUA